UCGGCAUACUGCUCAGUAACACGUGGAUAACCUGCCCUAUGCUCGAGGAUAACCUCGGGAAACUGAGAAUAAUACUCGAUAGUCCACAACGCCUGGAACGGUGUGUGGAUCAAAGGUUACGGCAUAGGAUGGGUCUGCGGCGUAUCAGGUCGUAGGGGGUGUAAUGGACCUCCUAGCCAUUGACGCGUACGGGUUGUGGGAGCAAUAGCCCGGAGAUGGAUUCUGAGACACGAAUCCAGACCCUACGGGGUGCAGCAGGCGCGAAAACUUCACACUGCAGGAAACUGUGAUGAGGGAACUCCAAGUGCAUGCACUAUGUGUAUGCUUUUCUUAACUUUUAAUCGGUUUUGGAAUAAGGGCUGGGAAAGACCGGUGCCAGCCGCCGCGGUAAUACCGGCAGCUCAAGUGGUCGUCGCUUUUAUUGGGCCUAAAACGUCCGUAGCCUGUUUAGUAAAUUCGUGGGUAAAUCAACCGGCUUAACUGGUUGAAUUCUGCAAAGACUGCUAGACUAGGGACCGGGAGAGGUGUGAGGUACUCUAGGGGUAGAGGUAAAAUUCUGUCAUCCUUGGAGGACCACCAGUUGCGAAGGCGUCACACUAGAACGGAUCCGACGGUCAGGGACGAAGCCUAGGGGCACGAACCGGAUUAGAUACCCGGGUAGUCCUAGGUGUAAACGCUGUGAACUUGGUGUCGGGAUUCCGUCA
rnacentral:rRNA from 1 species